rnacentral:lncRNA from 1 species
GGAAGAACACCCCAGAUUACACAAGUCCAAUGUCUCUUCCAAAGCCGCGAGUCAGAUGCCAUCACUUGCUACCUGAGACGGGGUGGAGAGGGUCCAGAAGUGUUAUCUACGUGGAGUUGUCUCCACAGGGAUGGAAAUACCAGAAGUGGGAAGACGAGUCUCCCGGUAGCUAUCUCACAGGUUUGGUGCGAAAGUGAAAUAAAUUUGCCAUCGCAGGCUCAUAUCCUGGCUCAUCUGUGUCCCUGUGAUCAGUGUCCCCAUGCUUCUUGCAAAUCGGUUGUCUGUGCUCGCUGUUUAGAUCAUCUACUUUUGCCAUCAGCGGAAGGCUCCCCAAACACAUGCCUGAGCCCUUCAGAAUUAUGUUCAGAGGGGGCACGGAACAAAGAAAAGGUGAGCCAUGUGAACGACCUCUUGGGUUGCGAACGUACUUGAGAUUAUCCUUUCUCCGUCCUGGAGUCCUAACAGCAGCGGGCUACCCCGAAUCCAUGAUGGUUUUGCCAAGCUAGGAUAGUGUAGACAUAACGUGUUCAAUGUGGGAUAGAGGUUGGGAGUCUUCAGUUGUAAAGCAUUUCAUCAAAGUGACGCCGUUUCAUGCUUUUUACGUGGGAAUUAGCUUCUCCAGCACAUGACGUUUCAUGACCUGGCAUGACCCCAGCCUUUCCAAGCAGCAGGAACUAUUUACUUUUAGAGCAACUAAAACAGUACAAGCACCCCACGCACUUCACGAGCUGAAAUAAUCACACCUUUCUUCUUAUAACAAUACCUACCACUGGUUAGACAAGUUUCGUCAUCUUUGUAUUCCAAUGUUUGUGGGAGGGAGAGAUGGGAAGAAAAAAUGAAAAAAGAAGCAGGGAUUGUAGGCGAAGCCCUCUGCAGGGGGCAGCCCUGAGAUGGAACCUCCCUCCUUUUCUUGCAAGAGGAUGAUAGCGGGAUCAUAAAUUACCAACCCCGGGGAAUAGCUUGUCCCUUUAAGGCUAUUAAAGGGACCAAGAUGAGCUGGAUUCCCAAAUGAGCUUUGAGGAUUACCGUGCCAGGUGGAAGGUGGCUGCCCCAGGCGGGGAAGAGAGAUUGGCUCCUCGUAUAUCAUUUUGGAGCUGUCCAGCGUUAAUCCCCACACUGAUUUCAGCAGGAGGAAUUUGAGAUCGUAAUGGCCAAUUGGCUAUUGCUUCUUCCUGAUAACAGCCAGGGCUCUCAACAGCAGACACAUAAUUAUUCUCGGUAGAGGGAAUGUGAGAGGUGGAGCCUUAGAUCCAGGCUAGACGAUAAAGAGGUAGAGUGGGUGGGCGCCUGGAGGGGUGAGACAGGUUUGAGGAAUGCCAGGAUCAUUCCAGGGCCCAAAUGGAGCUGCCACUGUGCGACGAAAUCAAGGGAAGAAAGAUCAGGCCUGCCCUUGUUCAGCAGAGGGACUGUAGCUCCGGGGCGGACGCCGCUCUUCAAAGGUGGGAGCUAAUUUUCUCCCUGGAUUAAGGCAAAGAUUCAUGAGGUCAAUGGUGUGGGCCGUGCAGCCCACUCCAAGGCUGUCCUGGAAGCAUCAAUCAAGCCCAGGGGCCAGCAGGCCAGUCUUGACCACUGGCAAAUGUCUAUUUCAGGUUGACCCCAUCCUCACUUGCUGGAGGCAGGAGAUGUGAUUCAAUGUGUCAGAGAACUUCCUAAACGACAAGACAGCAAUUUUUUAAAGUUAACUUAAAAAAGAAAAGAAAAGAAAGAAAGCUCAUGUCCUUGGCUGAUGAGCGUGGAGAAGACCUUGGGAUGGUUUUCAGAGAGACGGAAGCCUUAGCACAGGCCUGCUGCUGCACGCGUGAGUUUGGGGCUUCACCAGACAACUGUGGGACCCCCGCC